AGAGAAUAUAUUCACAAGAGUUUUAGGCACAAUAUAAAAAUAGUUUUAUGUUGCGAUGUUAAUUGUGUUGUCCGUGUACAGCGGUUAAAGUGCAGCGUGAUCAGAGCGUCUCAAUGCAGUUAUCAAUGUUACUGAAAUCUCGCAGUGCGGUGACCUCUCUGAAGUUUUGCGGGAUUUGAAACCUGAAAAGGGUGAAUUGUGAUUGUUGUGGUG